AUACCACUAAUUUUCAUGAACCCCUAAUUUAUAAUGAAUGACUCCAUAUUUAUAUGGAAGACACCAUGCUAGGAUUAGUAACAAGAAUUUAUAAUUCUCCAAAAUGCAAAUAUAAACCAACAUGGAUAGACCAUUGGUAGUUACCGAACCUAAAUUUACUGCAAUAACACCCACAAGAAAACUCUGCAGUACUUACUCGUUAACCUAACACCAGCGCAUUACAGGAAAGAUUUAAAAAAAGAGAAGGAAUUCGGCAAAUGACGGCCCCGCCUGUUUACCAAAAACAUCGCCUCUUGACUUAUAAUAAGAGGUCCAGCCUGCCCAGUGAAUUUUAAACGGCCGCGGUAUCCUAACCGCGCGAAGGUAGCAUAAUCACUUGUUCUUUAAAUGGGGACUCGUAUCAACGGCAUCACGAGGGUUUUACUGUCUCCUCUUUUUGAUCAGUGAAAUUGAUCUUCCCGUGAAGAAGCGGGAAUAUUUUUAUAAGACGAGAAGACCCCAUGGAGCUUUAAACCAAAUAACAACUUAACUACUUAUCCCACAAUAAAUUUAAGCCCUGUUAUAAGGUUUUUGGUUGGGGUGACCGCGGAGUAAAGCACAUCCUCCACGACGGAAAGAACAUAAUCUUUAUUUAAGAACCACACUUCUAGAAAUUAGUAUACUAACGUUUACUGACCCGACAAUCGAUCAACGGACCAAGUUACCCUGGGGAUAACAGCGCAAUCUACUUCAAGAGCUCAUAUCGACAAGUAGGCUUACGACCUCGAUGUUGGAUCAGGGUAUCCCGGUGGUGCAGCCGCUACCGAAGGUUCGUUUGUUCAACGAUUAAAACCCUACGUGAUCUGAU
rnacentral:rRNA from 1 species